UAAACAGGAUUCCCACAGUAAUGGCGAAUGAACAGGGAUAAGCUCAGCCUGGAAAUCGGGGCCCAUGGCCUUGACUUGUAGUCUUGCGAUGUACUGCCAACGGAGGCGCAGGUGUAAGCCUCUUGGAAAAGAGCAUCAAUGAGGGUGAGAGUCCCCCUUGCCAUCUGUAGUUCCCCGUGUACGGUGUGCUGUCCAAGAGUCACGCUCCUCGGGAUUGGAGCGCAAAGUGGGUGGUAAAUUUCAUCUAAAGCUGAAUAUUGGUCCGAGACCGAUAGCAAACAAGUACCAUGAGGGAAAGGUGAAAAGGACUUUGAAAAGAGAGUUAAAAGUGCCUGAAAUUGCUGAAAGGGAAGCGAACGGAACCAGUGCGUCUUGGUGAGAUUGUUGCGUGCCAUUGCAAGAGCUUGCUGCUUCAGUGAGAGCGUGGCAGUAGGUUUUGAACAGGACGCUCGCAGUGCUUCUUGCCUUGCAUGUCAGCUCCAGUUCACAGCUGAGGAAAACCUCGGGGAUAUGGUAGCUUGCCUCUGGGCGGGUGAAUGUGCCAGGUGGACUCAAGUGUGUACUGCUUGCUGACUACAUGGUUUUCUUCGA
rnacentral:rRNA from 1 species